AUUAGAAAUGCGUGAUCUGUCAAUCAUCACUUCACCCACCCACCAGAUCCCCUUAACCUUGUUGGUUGAGAUUUGCAAACCCCUCUUUUGUCUUGAUUGCAGUCAUGCACUAGGCAGGUGAUUCAUCACGAGAUCAUAUCUAUUAUCGUUUGCUAAUCCUCCAGCUACGGUUGAUCGAUCUUAAUUAGCACCAACCGAACAUAUAGGGCAGAGAGUGGCACUUGUGCCGUAGUCCUUGACAUAGCUAUCAUCGCUGCAUGUAUAAUGCUAGUUUUAUGAAGCAAGUUUUCACGUCAUUAUCCCUCUCUGAACUGGGGCCAUCUGCCAUGGCCAGCAUCCGCCAAGCUGCACCUUCAAGCUCUGCUUUUAUUCCUGGAUGAUCUUUAGGAGCUUCUUCGUAGGGGAUUCGUUGCGUUUGGUGGAGCUGAGUCUCUUGUUGGGCAAUGUGAGCUUGGAGCUUGGUAAUGGGGUAGCUCUAGUUAGGGUUCUGGCGCUUGAGCGCUUCGCGAAUUUCGGUGGCAUUAUUUAUGCUUGCUGUAGUUUCUGUGAAAGUGUUGCAGUGACGAGGAUUUUUUUCCUGAGCCAUGGCGGAAGUUGGAGGCUCUGAUUUGUACUAGCAUUGCAUGUUAAGUGUUGGAAAAGUAGACAGUACGUUCGCAGAUAUGCAGAAUGGGAGAAGUUCACAGCUAGCAUUAGCACGCAUCUCAUGAGCGAUGGUUGGAUUAAUUAGCCACUGGCUGCCGGAGCAUCACCACCACCCCCCACUGUCGGCCCCAGUUACCCGACAUCCUCACAAGCUCAAUUUUUACCUGGGCAUCGUUAUUGUAGCGUUUAUGGCGGUGAGCGUGGUUGCACUAGUCUGCUGUUGCUACCGCUUGGAAUGGCGUCUUCGCCUUCAGGCUAGAAAUGCAGCGCGCCGGGUGAGUUGGGGCAAUGGAAUCUUGACGCAGAAUACUGAUGGUUCUCACGAGAUAAUAAGUGCUCGGGUUGGAAAGAAGACCAAACAGGUUAACCAUUUCUACUCACUUGAGCGUUUUCUGUGGAGAACACGGAAAUGCUGCCGCAUAUUGUUCCCAGACUUAUAAUGAGACAAAUCUUUCCGUCAUGAUGCCUGGAGACAGUAUUCCAAGUUUUCUUGCGAACGCCAAACCUCAUGGAACGUCCACUGAUCCUGCUUUUUCAGAUUCACAUGAAAGUGCAGCGAAGGAUACAUCCCCACUUUUCGGUAGCGUUGACGAUAUUGGAUUCACACAACAAAUGAGGGAAUGGUCUCGCUUCCAACCAAUGAGUUUCAGAGAAGGAAAUGAAGACCAUCCCUUACAAAUUGGUGGCAAUGGUGGCUCCCAAACAUGAAACACAUUCCAUGCAUAUGUAUUUGCAAAAAUUGACGUCCCACCGCUCAUCUCCAGUGUUUUGCAGACGCUGUGUUUCAGAAUGAGGAUCGACCAUAAGGGAUGAGUUAUUCGUAGUUGAUGAGAAGAAUUAGAACACUUUUCUACAAGAUUGUGAAUGGUAUUGGUGUGACAUCUUCUGCGUUGAGAGUAGAUUUCUUCUGCUCAAGGGAGUUAUAAGACUUGUGGAGACAAAAACUCUGGACCUGGAUUGCAAUGAUCUUCAGUGACUACAUCUAUCUACAGAUCUGGUGCAGAAACCUUAUGGGAAACAGUAUUCAGGAACUCUACAAGUUAAAAAAAUAUUGCAAAGGCAAAUUAGGGUGAGCAGAGAUGCUCCAGGUGCCUGCCGAAAACCGGGUACGUGUAAAAUAAACAGUGUCGUUAAACAGUAAAAGCUCUUCAUGCGAAAUAAACCGACUGUUAUCUCCUGUUUCUGCAUUAUUUUUUCCUUAAGUUCCUUCACUUUGCGCCUCAAACCAUUGUGUGAUACCACAAAGCUACGAAGUUAAGAAGGGAGUAUUUUUCUCUUGCAAAUUACUAGAGCAGGCUACCCAAUCUUUCAUGCAAGAUUAUUUGCUUCACCAUUCCGAGAGUGUAGAAACCGCAACCAGACCGAGGGUUGACUGAAACUAAACAGUUCACGCAAAGACCACAACACAAAAUUAAUAGCACUUUGUUGAGUAUAUUUAAGGUUACACUAGUGAGUCAAUGAGUUCUUAGUUUUUUAAUAAGUUAAUCUAGCUAACUUCUUAAUUAUUAUUGUGAAAAGCCUGGACAUAACAAGCGACAAUCUUAUA